GGAUCAAUAAUGAGUUAAUGUCUUGAACAGAAGUGAAAACACAAAAAUCAAGCUCAGUUGGAUUAUUCUGAAGCCC
ensembl:snoRNA SNORD115 Small nucleolar RNA SNORD115